rnacentral:rRNA from 1 species
UUGAUUAAACCAUAAGAGGUCCAGCCUGCCCAGUGACAUUGUUCAACGGCCGCGGUAUCCUAACCGUGCGAAGGUAGCGUAAUCACUUGUCCUUUAAAUGAAGACUAGUAUGAAUGGCCCCACGAAAGCUAUACUGUCUCCUUUUUCUAAUCAGUUAAACUAAUCUCCCCGUGAAGAAGCGGGGAUAAACAUAUAAGACGAGAAGACCCUAUGGAGCUUCAAACAACUGAAACACUUGUAUAUCCUCCCCUCACCUACCAACAUUUAACCUCACAUUUUGUUUCUAGUUUUAGGUUGGGGUGACCACGGAGAAAAAACUAACCUCCACGACGAAAGAGACAUCUCUAAACAAAAAGCUACAUCUUUAUGUAUUAACACAUUAACCUUUAUUGACCCAAUAAAUUGAUC